AACAGUCGCCGCGGGAAUACGUAGGUGGCAAGCGUUGUCCGGAAUUAUUGGGCGUAAAGGGCUCGCAGGCGGUUUCUUAAGUCUGAUGUGAAAGCCCCCGGCUCAACCGGGGAGGGUCAUUGGAGACUGGGAAACUUGAGGGCAGAAGAGGAGAGUGGAAUUCCACGUGUAGCGGUGAAAUGCGUAGAGAUGUGGAGGAACACCAGUGGCGAAGGCGACUCUCUGGUCUGUAACUGACGCUGAGGAGCGAAAGCGUGGGGAGCGAACAGGAUUAGAUACCCGAGUAGUCCCUGUCUCUUAUAC
rnacentral:rRNA from 1 species